AAAGACAAGGCAGAGAGAAAGAUAUUGUCUCGGAGUCUUACUGAUUUACAACGUAAUCUCCUUGGGGGUCAAGAGCAUUGAGGUCUAAUCUGUUUUGUCCUCUCUUUAAUGUAGUUUAAUCUUUUUCUAGGUUAUUUCAAUUCUGGUUCUUCCUUUACCUUUCAGAAUUCUAAAUCUUCUGGAAAACAAACAAAAGGGCCGAGGCUGAAACUCUGAGUUGAUGAAUCCCAGGCUUAGGAAGCAGAAGACGGGAUAUGGAGCGCUGGACCGGUCCCUUGGGGCCAGAAGCUUGGCUUAGCGUGAGCCAACAACAGAAAAACCUUUCUCCGCAUCUGAGCAAGUUGGCCGCUUUCCCCUGGAUGUCUGUGGCCUGGCCUGUGGAAUGCAAGCCUCCUUCCCGACCACCUGUCUGGCACACAUCUGGGCUUUGCGUGAAUUUGAAACCGUCCGACUUUGUGGACAGAGUCUCAGAAAACAGACCAGCGGCUUUUCUUCCUGUGUCGACUGGAAGUGACCUCUGGGCGCGUGCUGUCCGUUUUUUUAAUCCGGAUUAAUUCCCCUCACAUGUGAUCUUCCCUUUAUCUCAAGCAAAAAACAGUUCUGCUCUCUGUGUAGUAACUGCAGGCCUCCCACAUCCUCUGAUUUCCCUACAGUCUUGUUAUCACAACAAUGUGAAACUGAAUAAACGUCUG